rnacentral:rRNA from 1 species
UUAAGCGAACAAGCGUACACGGUGGAUGCCCUGGCAGUCAGAGGCGAUGAAGGACGUGCUAAUCUGCGAAAAGCGCCGGUAAGGUGAUAUGAACCGUUAUAACCGGCGAUGUCCGAAUGGGGAAACCCGGUGCACUUCGGUGCAUCAUCGUUAGCUGAAUACAUAGGCUAACGAGGCGAACCGGGGGAACUGAAACAUCUAAGUACCCCGAGGAAAAGAAAUCAACCGAGAUUCCCCCAGUAGCGGCGAGCGAACGGGGAACAGCCCAGAGCCUGAAUCAGCUUGUGUGUCAGUGGAACGGUCUGGAAAGGCCGGCGAUACAGGGUGACAGCCCCGUACACGAAGGCACACAGGCUGUGAGCUCGAUGAGUAGGGCGGGACACGUGAUAUCCUGUCUGAAGAUGGGGGGACCAUCCUCCAAGGCUAAAUACUCCUGACUGACCGAUAGUGAACCAGUACCGUGAGGGAAAGGCGAAAAGAACCCCGGCGAGGGGAGUGAAACAGAACCUGAAACCGUGUACGUACAAGCAGUGGGAGCCUUCGUAAGAGGGUGACUGCGUACCUUUUGUAUAAUGGGUCAGCGACUUAUAUUCUGUAGCAAGGUUAACCGUAUAGGGGAGCCGAAGGGAAACCGAGUCUUAAUUGGGCGUUAAGUUGCAGGGUAUAGACCCGAAACCCGGUGAUCUAGCCAUGGGCAGGUUGAAGGUUGGGUAACACUAACUGGAGGACCGAACCGACUAAUGUUGAAAAAUUAGCGGAUGACCUGUGGCUGGGGGUGAAAGGCCAAUCAAACCGGGAGAUAGCUGGUUCUCCCCGAAAGCUAUUUAGGUAGCGCCUCGUGAACUCAUCUCCGGGGGUAGAGCACUGUUUCGGCUAGGGGGCCAUCCCGGCUUACCAACCCGAUGCAAACUGCGAAUACCGGAGAAUGUUAUCACGGGAGACACACGGCGGGUGCUAACGUCCGUCGUGAAGAGGGAAACAACCCAGACCGCCAGCUAAGGUCCCAAAGUCAUGGUUAAGUGGGAAACGAUGUGGGAAGGCCCAGACAGCCAGGAUGUUGGCUUAGAAGCAGCCAUCAUUUAAAGAAAGCGUAAUAGCUCACUGGUCGAGUCGGCCUGCGCGGAAGAUGUAACGGGGCUAAACCAUGCACCGAAGCUGCGGCAGCGACGCUUAUGCGUUGUUGGGUAGGGGAGCGUUCUGUAAGCCUGCGAAGGUGUGCUGUGAGGCAUGCUGGAGGUAUCAGAAGUGCGAAUGCUGACAUAAGUAACGAUAAAGCGGGUGAAAAGCCCGCUCGCCGGAAGACCAAGGGUUCCUGUCCAACGUUAAUCGGGGCAGGGUGAGUCGACCCCUAAGGCGAGGCCGAAAGGCGUAGUCGAUGGGAAACAGGUUAAUAUUCCUGUACUUGGUGUUACUGCGAAGGGGGGACGGAGAAGGCUAUGUCGGCCGGGCGACGGUUGUCCCGGUUUAAGCGUGUAGGCUGACUUUCCAGGCAAAUCCGGAAAGUUAAGGCUGAGGCGUGAUGACGAGGCACUACGGUGCUGAAGUGACAAAUGCCCUGCUUCCAGGAAAAGCCUCUAAGCAUCAGGUAACAUCAAAUCGUACCCCAAACCGACACAGGUGGUCAGGUAGAGAAUACCAAGGCGCUUGAGAGAACUCGGGUGAAGGAACUAGGCAAAAUGGUGCCGUAACUUCGGGAGAAGGCACGCUGACAUGUAGGUGAAGCCCCUGCGGGUGGAGCUGAAGUCAGUCGAAGAUACCAGCUGGCUGCAACUGUUUAUUAAAAACACAGCACUGUGCAAACACGAAAGUGGACGUAUACGGUGUGACGCCUGCCCGGUGCCGGAAGGUUAAUUGAUGGGGUUAUCGCAAGAGAAGCUCCUGAUCGAAGCCCCGGUAAACGGCGGCCGUAACUAUAACGGUCCUAAGGUAGCGAAAUUCCUUGUCGGGUAAGUUCCGACCUGCACGAAUGGCGUAAUGAUGGCCAGGCUGUCUCCACCCGAGACUCAGUGAAAUUGAACUCGCUGUGAAGAUGCAGUGUACCCGCGGCAAGACGGAAAGACCCCGUGAACCUUUACUACAGCUUGACACUGAACAUUGAGCCUUGAUGUGUAGGAUAGGUGGGAGGCUUUGAAGCGUGGACGCCAGUCUGCGUGGAGCCGACCUUGAAAUACCACCCUUUAAUGUUUGAUGUUCUAACCUGGCGCCGUGAUCCGGCGUGGGGACAGUGUCUGGUGGGUAGUUUGACUGGGGCGGUCUCCUCCCAAAGUGUAACGGAGGAGCACGAAGGUCAGCUAAUCCUGGUCGGACAUCAGGAGGUUAGUGCAAUGGCAUAAGCUGGCUUGACUGCGAGAGUGACGGCUCGAGCAGGUGCGAAAGCAGGUCAUAGUGAUCCGGUGGUUCUGUAUGGAAGGGCCAUCGCUCAACGGAUAAAAGGUACUCCGGGGAUAACAGGCUGAUACCGCCCAAGAGUUCAUAUCGACGGCGGUGUUUGGCACCUCGAUGUCGGCUCAUCACAUCCUGGGGCUGAAGUAGGUCCCAAGGGUAUGGCUGUUCGCCAUUUAAAGUGGUACGCGAGCUGGGUUUAGAACGUCGUGAGACAGUUCGGUCCCUAUCUGCCGUGGGCGCUGGAGAAUUGAGGGGGGCUGCUCCCAGUACGAGAGGACCGGAG